CCUUGACGUUUCAGCUUGGCAUUCGGUUGUUUGCGGCCACCAUGACCUCUGAUUCUGCUGCAUGAAAAACAGGCCAGGGCGUCAGGAGAAUUGGCAUCAGGGCACUGCUUGCAAAGUUGACCAUCUGACGAAAUUGCUCCUAAGAAUCUUCAGCACCUGCAAAUGGCUUCCCUUCUCGCUGAUGUUCUCAGGUGCCUUGUUGGCUUCCACAGAGCGGCACAUGAGUGAGGGCGGUACUGCCCUUGAAUCCUGCAAAAGAAAAAUCACAGCAGAAAAUCUCAGAUCUCUAACACCCGUGAAGGGUAGGGAAAGCCUUAAUGAUUCACAGAGCUGUCUGAUAGGCAUCAUUGCCCUAAACCUGAGAAUUGGAGGUCCCCUCUCCUUCCGUCUUCUGCAAGGGAUGGCAUUCGCCAGUGGUGCCACUCAGUUGCCAUAUACUGUUGGGAUCCUCCUCAGGCAUCAAUAUCCAAUGCGCUGGGUGCCUGCAUAAUGCUUCCCCAUCUAUAGAAGUUCCUCGUCAAGGAAGCACGAUGUCUGUGCUGGGAGAUGCAGGUCCAAGG
rnacentral:lncRNA from 1 species